UACGUAGGGUGCGAGCGUUGUCCGGAAUUAUUGGGCGUAAAGGGCUCGUAGGCGGUUUGUCACGUCGGGAGUGAAAACCAGGUGCUUAACACCUGGCUUGCUUUCGAUACGGGCAGACUAGAGGUAUUCAGGGGAGAACGGAAUUCCUGGUGUAGCGGUGAAAUGCGCAGAUAUCAGGAGGAACACCGGUGGCGAAGGCGGUUCUCUGGGAAUGACCUGACGCUGAGGAGCGAAAGUGUGGGGAGCGAACAGG
rnacentral:rRNA from 1 species